rnacentral:rRNA from 1 species
CACGUAGGGCGCAAGCGUUGUCCGGAAUUAUUGGGCGUAAAGAGCGCGUAGGCGGUCCGGUAAGUCGGUUGUGAAAACUGGGGGGCUCAACCCUCAGAGGCCGACCGAUACUGUCGGGCUAGAGUCCGGAAGAGGCGAGUGGAAUUCCUGGUGUAGCGGUGAAAUGCGUAGAUAUCGGGAGGAACACCUAUGGCGAAAGCAGGCUUCUGGGCCAUCACUGACGCUGAUCUGCGAAAGCUAGGGGAGCAAACAGG